rnacentral:rRNA from 1 species
AUUGAACGCUGGCGGCAUGCUUUACACAUGCAAGUCGAACGGCAGCACGGGAGCAAUCCUGGUGGCGAGUGGCGAACGGGUGAGUAAUAUAUCGGAACAUGUCCGGAAGUGGGGGAUAACGUAGCGAAAGUUACGCUAAUACCGCAUAUGCCCUGAGGGGGAAAGGAGGGGAUCGUAAGACCUUUCGCUUUCGGAGUGGCCGAUAUCAGAUUAGCUAGUUGGUGAGGUAAAGGCUCACCAAGGCGACGAUCUGUAGCGGGUCUGAGAGGAUGAUCCGCCACACUGGGACUGAGACACGGCCCAGACUCCUACGGGAGGCAGCAGUGGGGAAUUUUGGACAAUGGGCGCAAGCCUGAUCCAGCCAUGCCGCGUGAGUGAAGAAGGCCUUCGGGUUGUAAAGCUCUUUCAGCCGGAAAGAAAUUGCACUGAUUAAUACUCAGUGUAGAUGACGGUACCGGAAGAAGAAGCACCGGCUAACUACGUGCCAGCCGCCGCCGUAACAC